CAAAAAGUAGUAUAAAUUUAUUACAUUUCGCUUACACCGAGACAAAGGCUUAAUGCCCUUUUUGA
rnacentral:tRNA from 1 species